CCUCCCUCGGGCCUCCCUCCCGCCUCUGCAAGGCAGCCUUUCUCCGGAACUUCCGCCAGGCUGCCACAGCUCUCGGGAGGUCCUGCCUUCUGGCCUUGAAGACCUACGAGGCAGCCAAGGCCGGGCCCUACCGGGACGCUCGAGGACAGCUGUCUCUCCUCCUGGACCAGCAGGGCCUGGGGGCCUGGCCCUCAAAGCCGCUGGUAGGCAAGUUCCGAGACUGAAGCCCGAAGCCGACCUGCCGGAGCACACGGGGCCCUGAGCUGAGCUGGCCCACGGGGAGGGCUGGGGAGGCGCAGGGGGCCUCCAGGGAUACAUGGGUGAAGCUGGGUUACAGGGAGGGGCUGCUGGGUGGGAGGUGAGGGUUGAGGCAUAAAAGACUUGAAUAAAAGCAGUUUUGGGUGA